AUGAACGCUAGUUACAGGCUUAACACAUGCAAGUCGAGGGGCAUCAGGAAGAAAGCUUGCUUUCUUUGCUGGCGACCGGCGCACGGGUGAGCAACACGUAUCCAACCUGCCCUUUACUCGGGGAUAGCCUUUCGAAAGAAAGAUUAAUACCCGAUAGCAUAAUGAUUCCGCAUGGUUUCAUUAUUAAAGGAUUCCGGUAAAGGAUGGGGAUGCGUUCCAUUAGGUUGUUGGUGAGGUAACGGCCCACCAAGCCUUCGAUGGAUAGGGGUUCUGAGAGGAAGGUCCCCCACAUUGGAACUGAGACACGGUCCAAACUCCUACGGGAGGCAGCAGUGAGGAAUAUUGGUCAAUGGGCGCUAGCCUGAACCAGCCAAGUAGCGUGAAGGAUGAAGGCUCUAUGGGUCGUAAACUUCUUUUAUAUAAGAAUAAAGUGCAGUAUGUAUACUGUUUUGUAUGUAUUAUAUGAAUAAGGAUCGGCUAACUCCGUGCCAGCAGCUGCGGUAAUACGGAGGAUCCGAGCGUUAUCCGGAUUUAUUGGGUUUAAAGGGAGCGUAGGUGGACUGGUAAGUCAGUUGUGAAAGUUUGCGGCUCAACCGUAAAAUUGCAGUUGAUACUGUCAGUCUUGAGUACAGUAGAGGUGGGCGGAAUUCGUGGUGUAGCGGUGAAAUGCUUAGAUAUCACGAAGAACUCCGAUUGCGAAGGCAGCUCACUGGACUGCAACUGACACUGAUGCUCGAAAGUGUGGGUAUCAAACAGGAUUAGAUACCCUGGUAGUCCACACAGUAAACGAUGAAUACUCGCUGUUUGCGAUAUACAGUAAGCGGCCAAGCGAAAGCAUUAAGUAUUCCACCUGGGGAGUACGCCGGCAACGGUGAAACUCAAAGGAAUUGACGGGGGCCCGCACAAGCGGAGGAACAUGUGGUUUAAUUCGAUGAUACGCGAGGAACCUUACCCGGGCUUAAAUUGCAGUGGAAUGAUGUGGAAACAUGUCAGUGAGCAAUCACCGCUGUGAAGGUGCUGCAUGGUUGUCGUCAGCUCGUGCCGUGAGGUGUCGGCUUAAGUGCCAUAACGAGCGCAACCCUUAUCUUUAGUUACUAACAGGUUAUGCUGAGGACUCUAGAGAGACUGCCGUCGUAAGAUGUGAGGAAGGUGGGGAUGACGUCAAAUCAGCACGGCCCUUACGCCCGGGGCUACACACGUGUUACAAUGGGGGGUACAGAAGGCAGCUAGCGGGUGACCGUAUGCUAAUCCCAAAAUCCUCUCUCAGUUCGGAUCGAAGUCUGCAACCCGACUUCGUGAAGCCGGAUUCGCUAGUAAUCGCGCAUCAGCCACGGCGCGGUGAAUACGUUCCCGGGCCUUGUACACACCGCCCGUCAAGCCAUGGGAGCCGGGGGUACCAGAAGUACGUAACCGCAAGGAUCGUCCUAGGGUAAAACUGGU
rnacentral:rRNA from 1 species